GAAAAACCAUCUUAAACAUGACCUUCUCAAGAAAAUGCCAUUCAACCCUAUUAUAAGCCUUAUUCAUGUCAAGCUUCAGUCCAAAAAAACCCUCCCUUCCCCUAUGUCUAUUUUUCUUCUGAUAAAAAAUUUGAAAAGCUGUCAGGGCAUUAUCAGUUAUGAGGUGGCUAGAGACAAAAGCUGAUUGAGUAGGAUUAUCAAGAAGAAUUAAUUUUAGUCUAUUGGUUAAAACCUUGGUAGCAAUUUUCAAAAAGACAUUACAUAGGCUUAUAGGACAAAAAUCUUUUGUACGUUCAGGAUCAUGGAUUUUUGGAAUGAGAGUAAUAAUGGUAUGAUUAAUGGAAGCAGGAAAUACAUUAUGAUUAAGAAUAGACAAUACCUUAUGUUCCACUAACUCUCCAACAAUAGACUAGAAAAGACUAAAAAAAAGGAAGGAGGCAUACUGUCAAAGUCCCAGAGCUUUAGAUGGGCGCAUUUGACUGAGGGCCACCCUGACUUCCUCACUUGUGAAGGGGCAGUUCAGCUAUGUGUUCGUAUCUUCAAAUACCUUGACCUCCACAGUGUUCAAAACAUAUGUAUAAUCUGAUGGUAUUGAGGAAGAAAAUAAAGAACUGAAGUAUUAGGUCAUCACUCUCGCUAUAUUAUCCUUCUACUAAAAAUAUUCCUAUUAUCAUCUCGAAUUUUCUGAAUCAAAUUUUUUUCCUUCGCCUAUGAUUAGCUUUCGAAUGAAAGAAAGGAAGUAUUUUUUGUCACCCUCCUUAAGCCAGAGUUUCCUAGAGUGCUGUGCCCAC
rnacentral:misc_RNA from 1 species